UGGAAUCAAGACAGCAAUUUGAUAGAACUGAAAGGCUUUAUUAUCAGGUAAACUAGGACCGAUUCCUGGUUUUACAUCCUCCUGACUGCAUAACUUUUGAGACUCAGUCCCAGCUUUCUUGCUUGUAAAAUGACAAUAGUAUCAUCUACUGUUAUGAACUGAAUGUUUGUGUCUCCCCAAAAUUUAUGCAUUAAAAUCCUAACCCUCAAUGUGAUAAUAUUAGGAGGCAGGGCCUUUGGGAGGUAAUGAGGCCAUGAGGAUAGAGCUUUCAUGAAUAGGAUUAAUGCUCUUCUAAGAAGAGGCACACACGAGACAACUUGCUUCCUUUCUCUCUCUGCUCUUCACCAUGUGAGGAUACAAUGAGAAGAAGGCCAUCUGUAAACGAGCAAGAGGACCUUCACCAAGAUCCCAACCGUGCUGCCACCCUGACCUCAGACUUCCAACCUCCAGAGAGAUUGCCAUGAAGAUGAUGUUUGGGUCAAGUUGCCUGGAUUUAGUCAUUGGGAGUCCUUGGUUAUUAGUAGGAUCCUCAGAGCAGUAGAGGGACAGAAGCCAGAUUGCACAGACUUCAACAGGUGGCAGUGGUAGCUAUUGAUAGAACACACGGAGAACACCACGUUGACCAGGUCUUGGCAGUGUUUCAGAAAGAGGUCGUCAGAGAUAUAAUAGAAAAGGAUUAAAAAUGGGAAAUUUUAGGGGCUUCCCUGGUGGCGCAGUGGUUAAGGAUCUGCCUGCCAAUGCAGGGGACACGGGUUCGAGCCCUGGUCUGGGAAGAUCCCACAUGCUCGCGGAGCGACUAGGCCCGUGAGCCACAACUACUGAGCCUGCGCGUCUGGAGCCUGCGCCCCGCAACAAGAGAGGCCGCGACAGUGAGAGGCCCGCGCACCGCGAUGAAGAGUGGCCCCUGCUUGCCGCAACCAGAGAAAGCCCUCGCACAGAAACGAAGACCCAACACAGCCAAAAAUAAAUAAAUAAAUAAAUAAAUUUUUUUAAAAAUGGGA